rfam:Danio rerio chromosome 4, GRCz11 reference primary assembly.
GCAUUGGUGGUUCAGUGGUAGAAAUCUUGCCUCCCAUGCGGGGGAGCCGUGUCCGAUUCCCGGCCAAUGCA